GGGGCUGUAAUGGUCUCGACAGAAAUAUUUUAGCAUGAAUAGCAGGCCGAGUAGUUUACGUUACAAACUACAAACAAAUAAACGCAAACAAAGUUAAAACUGCACUUAACAACAUCUUUGGUCGUAACCAAGCUGUUGCUUUUGCCUAAGAAUAGGCUUGUGCAAUCUUCUCACUCUUUAUUUACCGAGAGUGUUAAGGUUUAAACGAGGUAAAUUAAGCUUUAUAUUUGUCUAGAUAUAAAGACGAAAACUUGAGACUAGUAUAUUACUUAGUUCGUUAACUAAUAUGUAAUAUAUGAAAAUUACUAGUUAACUAAGCUUGUAGAAGUUUGUGUGGCGAUAUUUUUGGACAGGAGUUCAAUUCUCCUCAGCUCCACCA
rnacentral:tmRNA from 1 species